rnacentral:rRNA from 1 species
GCAAUUAUAUAGUGAAACUGCGAAUGGCUCAUUAAAUCAGUUAUCGUUUAUUUGAUAGUACCUUACUACUUGGAUAACCGUGGUAAUUCUAGAGCUAAUACAUGCUAAAAACCGCGACUUCGGGAGCGGUGUAUUUAUUAGAUAAAAAACCAAUGCCCUUCGGGGCUCCUUGGUGAUUCAUAAUAACUUAACGAAUCGCAUGGCCUUGUGCCGGCGAUGGUUCAUUCAAAUUUCUGCCCUAUCAACUUUCGAUGGUAGGAUAGUGGCCUACCAUGGUUUCAACGGGUAACGGGGAAUUAGGGUUCUAUUCCGGAGAGGGAGCCUGAGAAACGGCUACCACAUCCAAGGAAGGCAGCAGGCGCGCAAAUUACCCAAUCCCGACACGGGGAGGUAGUGACAAUAAAUACUGAUACAGGGCUCUUUUGGGUCUUGUAAUUGGAAUGAGUACAAUUUAAAUCCCUUAACGAGGAACAAUUGGAGGGCAAGUCUGGUGCCAGCAGCCGCGGUAAUUCCAGCUCCAAUAGCGUAUAUUAAAGUUGUUGCAGUUAAAAAGCUCGUAGUUGAACCUUGGGCCUGGCUGGCCGGUCCGCCUCACCGCGUGCACUGGUCCGGCCGGGCCUUUCCUUCUGGGGAGCCGCAUGCCCUUCACUGGGUGUGUCGGGGAACCAGGACUUUUACUUUGAAAAAAUUAGAGUGUUCAAAGCAGGCCUAUGCUCGAAUACAUUAGCAUGGAAUAAUAGAAUAGGACGUGUGGUUCUAUUUUGUUGGUUUCUAGGACCGCCGUAAUGAUUAAUAGGGAUAGUCGGGGGCAUCAGUAUUCAAUUGUCAGAGGUGAAAUUCUUGGAUUUAUUGAAGACUAACUACUGCGAAAGCAUUUGCCAAGGAUGUUUUCAUUAAUCAGUGAACGAAAGUUAGGGGAUCGAAGACGAUCAGAUACCGUCGUAGUCUUAACCAUAAACUAUGCCGACUAGGGAUCGGGCGAUGUUAUCUUUUUUGACUCGCUCGGCACCUUACGAGAAAUCAAAGUCU